rnacentral:lncRNA from 1 species
UAGACAACUAAAUCACACACAUCAAAUCUCCUCACACUUGAAUCAUACUUGCCCUCAAGUAUGAAGUGAAGAAAAGACUCAAUAGUGGAAACAAUUAUCUAGACACGACCUUCCCCCGACUCAACACACAAACACACGAAAAGGAAAAAGAAAUAUGGAAGAUAAGAAGUGAGACACGAAAACACAACAGCCAAGUAAAUGCCAACUGCUAGCUUGUAACUUAUACUGCCAAGAUGAACUAAGUAAUUCAUAAAUAACUCUCAACCUUCAAAAUGAAAAAUUUAGAAUCUCAAGAAUGCAUCUCUAUCAUCAAAUUAGUCAAAAUAGGCAAUAGCAAGUACAGCUCACGUUCACUCAUUCGCUAAUUCCCAUAAGAUAUGAGGAUUCACACAACACAAGAAAAGAUCCACUCGUCAUGAUAUGUCGCGGUCAAUAGUGACUCAAAAAGGACUUUGUUCAUUUGGCGUAAUGGGGUAGGGACCAUUCAUAAGAUUGGAAGGAUCUAAAGGGGUUCCUAGGCUCAAGCAAUGAAAUCAAAGUGUGCACAUCUAAUCCAAACAUCAUCCACAAUUUCAAGUUCAUAGAGAAAGAAAGCAACCAACUAAUCUUAGGGGAAAAACUCCAACAAUAACAAUGAUACUACAUGCUCAACUCAACUUGGUGCACUUUUUUUUCUUUUUUUUUUUUUUUUUCUUUUUUUUUUUCUUUUCUUUUUUUUUUUUUUCUUUUUUUUUUUCUUUUUUUUUUUUUCUAUUUUUUUAAACAGCAGCACCCUUCUUUUUUUUAUAUCCCAAUCAACAUGCAAUCAUCAUCUACAAAAUAUCCCCACAAAUCGUCUCCCAAACCCAAUCUGAAUUCACUGCCACUGUUUGGCCAAACGGAUCACAGACCUUAUCAUCUAGCACAAGACAGCAGUUUGGGCAAACGGCACAUGAACACAGCUUAACUUUCUCUAGUAAUUAAUGGAAUGAAGUUCAAAAUUAGACAUGCAUCACUGGGCCAAAGAGAGAGUCCAAAACAGGCCUUGGCUAAUUAUUUAGUGACUAGUAAGAACAAAAAUGGUCAAGGCUUCAAAAAUGGCUCACUAGGGGUUAAUGUAUGGGUAGGCAAUGAAACGCAGGCCAAAUGGGCUUCCUAGUGCCUUCUAUCAUUUGUCACAUAUGACUCACUUAAUAUCACGACCUCAUGAACAUCAAAUCACUCAAAAAAAAUGUAGUAGAGAGUGCUCUACUCUAUUAAGCUCAAAUCUCACUUAUGUGUGGUUUUUACUCACUUAUUGCCUUUCUUCGUCAUCCCAAUUUUCAUCUAAUAAAGAUUCAUCCAUAAAAUCACAAUUCUUCAAUUCCAAAAGUAUCAAGUCAUCUACUUCAUCACAAAGUGCAACUUGGCAGCAUGCAUACACAAAACUAACAAACCAACACUCACUUGGCUAACAUGCAAGACAACACAACGACUCAACAUAGACACACAAAAAAAAGACACAUCCCCCUCCUCACACUUAGACGUUGCUUGCCCUCAAGCAAACAAGAAAAAGCAUAAAAAAAGGGAAGCACACAAAAACUAACAAAAACACAAGACAAUAAACAAGACAAAGAGAAACAAAAAGAAAAAAUCAAACACAAGGAAGGAAUCACCGUGCACGCUGCCUUGUGGAGAUGCCGGCAGAGGGCGGAGGGCGGCGGUUCUGGAGGGGGUCGCGGCGGCGGGGUGUUUCAGGAGGAGAGAUGCGAGUGGAGAUGAGGGCGUAAUGGAGGCUGGCGGUGGUGAUUUCCAGAUGCAGAGAAAAGAUAUGAGCCGGAACAGGGAGGUGUUGGAUUGUGGAAUUGAGAGAGCAGCGGCGGGUGCAGGUUGGAGAUGAGGCUGGAGGUUGUGGCUGCGGCGGCGGUUCUGGAGUGGGUCGCGGCAGUGGUGGUGUUUCAGGCGGAGAUAUGCGAGUGGAGAUGGCUGGAGUGGGUUUUGAGGAGUGGAAUUGAGAGGGAAACGAUGGGGGAAUUUUGACUAGGUCAAAUCCUCCAUCAAAUCCCAGAAUUGCAGUUGACUCCACCACACUUAGCAUAGUGUCCAAUUUGACCCCAAAUUCUCCAGAAUCUUCAAAAUGACACUCAAACCCUACCUCUUUCAAGUCUACCUUCGAUGGCUUCACAACACUGGCAUAAUCGGUUCUGUGCUGGUCGAUUUGGGCAUCCUGCUCGAUAGGUGCCGAAUUGGAAUUUCGUCCGUGGAGUAAGCUGCAUGAUAAUCUCUCGAAUAGCAUCAUUCUCCUCUGUUUUGGCAUCCUCAUCAUUCAGCACACUGAAAAUAACUUGAUCGAGCUCCUCUUCCCUGAAAUUCUCAACAACAUCAUCAACCAAAGGAUCAAUCACAGUCAUAAAAUAGAUUCAGGAUCCUCUUCGUUUUUGUUUCUGCUCUGAAUCAGGAUCCGUUUGGGCAAACAGAUCUCUUCCGCAGUAGGGCACUGGUCAGCCAUGAAAAACAGUUCCGUCCGGGCAGACAGACAAUCUCCGAAUCCAACAGACCUUGCAGCUUCCUUCCUCUUCUUUCCUAUGUAGUUUUUUUUUUUAAAUCCUGCUAAAAAACAACAGAAAUAAAAUAAAAUAAAAUAGAAUCAAUAGGAAAAAGAAAUUAAUUAACACCGUUCCCCGGCAACGGCGCCAAUUUGGUGGACGUCGUACCACCAAAUAAUUCCUGCAAUUACCAAGAAUUAAAUGAGUAUAGUACAAGCAGGGUCGAACCACAGAGAACGGGUAAUUGCAAUCAAUUCCUAAAGAUCUAAAUUUGGUGUAGCCACCACGCCUUAAAUUAGAAAUUAAUUACUAAGAAAAAUUAAAUCAAAAAAUCACCUGAAAUAAAUCAAAAAAGGUAACUCGGCUCAAUAAAUCCAUAUUAAUUUAAUGACUCUGUCAUGACGCAAGAUUAAUUAAUCCCUAUCAACCAACCAGUUAUAGGAUACCGUGAACGCAACGACUACCCCAAUUCCUACUUACUGUUCGAUAACAGCUGAACGCAGCUGUAUUUCCCUUAUUAAAAUAUAACCUAGCUGGAACGCCAGCUAGAUUUAAUAUUCUAAUAGCAUUAAGAUGAAGGAACCCAGUUUAGAAAUUAUCCUAGAUACGCUAGUAAUAAUUAAUCCACCAAUUUAUUCCUACUACGAACAGGUAGCUUUAUCACUAAUCAGCCUAUUCCAACAAUUACGGAUUGGAGGUGUAAUUGACUGUAAUCCAAUUUAACCUAAGUUGAUCAGCUUAAAUUAAAUCGAACUAUCUUUAAACACAGGAAAAAUCGAAAUCAAUAGGAAUCAAUUUAUGAACAAUUAGGUCUCACAUUAUUAAAUAUAUUCAUUAUUCUCGCCGAAUUAAAAAUUUAGCUACUCAUAUUAAAAGAACAAUCAAAUAAAUAAAAAAACAUAAAAAAAUAAAUUGCAAUUGAAAUAAAGGUCACCACUUAAACACAAUUGUUGUAAAUUGAUUCAGCGCCAAAAAUUCUCCUUAAUAAAAGUCAAAGCUAAAACUAAAACCUAAGCAAAAGUUAAAAACCUAAUUAACUCUUAGUCUAGAAAAAGAAAAAGAAAAACGUGUUGUCCAAAUAUAAUCAACUAACUAAUAUAUAUAACCUAACCUAUCUCUAAAUAAGAAUGCGGCUAAGUGGGGUAAAAGGCUAGGGAAAUAAUCCCUACAAUAGUCGUCCCUAAUUAUCACGGGCUUUCGGCCCUUUUACAAAUAAAGCAUCAAAAUAAAUUAAAAUAAUAGUUUUAAGCUAAAUUAAAUUUAAAAUAAAUAACUUCAAGCCCAAUCUCUAAAUUCCUCCAAAAUCAAUGUUAAUCUUCAUCAAAUUUCGACUUUCACCGACUUCUUCCAUCCACGAGUCUCCUUCCACACUUCAAGCAAUUCCUGCGCCAAAAUGCCAAUGAACUUGGACAAAAAUCAAAUAAAAACACACGAUAAUAAACAUGAAUCUAGACAACUAAAUCGCACACAUCAAAGUCCGAAACUUUUUGUUCUAAUUUUUAAAUUAGUCUAAGUUAUUAUCCUAAAAAAACCUCUCAAACUUCGAUGGAUGCUGGAACUUAAAAUAAUUGAACUAUUUAUGUGAGCUCGAAAAAAACUGGUCUACUUUUGCAAACCGCUAGCUCUAAGAAUGUAGCUCGAACGUCUUAUUUUGUCAAACACUUCCCAGGAGCUUACUCGUUGUUUGUGGUUGAAAACUUGCAGGUUUCGAACCCAUUUUUCGCCGUGUUUGUGUUCGUUUUCUUGUCGUCGCAGCUGAAACACGCGCAGGAGGUGUUUGCGUCAGGGGAUUCGAUCAAGACUUGGUGGACGGAGCAGAGGGUGUGGAUGAUGAAAUCAUUGACAUCUUUCUUCUUUGCUGCCUUGAACGCGAGUUUGGAGAAGGUCGGAUUGAUCAAGGCUAGCUUUGUCCCAACAAACAAAGUGACCGACGAUGAAGUGGAGAAGCUCUAUCAAAUGGGGAAAUACGACUUCCAAGCACCACCUCUCUUCAUGCUCAUAUUGUGCACCCUUUACUUGCUUAAUCUUGCUUCCUUCGUCGUCGGAUUUGUGAAGAUUUUGCAGAAUGGGAAGAUGAUGAAUGAGAUGGUGAUGCAGGCUUUUCUACCAUUGUUUGGCGUAGUUCUGCAUUUGCCUUUGAUGGAAGGGAUGGUGUUGAGGAAGGAUAAAGGCCGAGUUUCGCCGCCGGUGGCGCUUCUUUCAGCUGUAAUUUCCUCUCUAGUUUUGGCUUAUGCAGCCCUUGUUCAUUAAUAUCAUGCAAGCUAGUGUAUGCUUUGGUUAUUUGUUGUCUCGUUACGGGGUGUUAACUUUGGAGGAUUAGUCUAUAAUAAGGUUAAUCUCCUUUUAUCUUGAUGAAUUGGAACUUUAAGAUAAGACCCUUGAUUAUUUUUAUCAUUUAAGUUAAUUUUGUUUGAUUUUUAUUCCAUCGAAAUGCUAGGAUUAGAGAAUUUCUAGUCUUUGUGAUAAAAAAUACUCAAUCAUGCAUUUUAUUCAUUUUAUAUUGUGUUUUAAUAUAUUCAUCCAAUUAGAAUCUAUAUAUAAUUAUUUUUUAUAUUUAUUUGAAUUACUAAUGGCUUAAUUAAUUCAAAAUCUUCUUAAAUUUCAGUUUUUAGUGAUAAUUAUCAAUUAAGUUCAUUAUGUAUAAAUAAUAUAAUUUUUAAUAAUAACGAUUUAUAUAUAAAAAAAUUAGAAUGUGACACAAUAACACACGAUAAAUUAUGGAAAAUAGGAUCUCCUCCGUUCAACUAACUAGUGCGCCUGAUGGUGUCUCGCACAUCAUGACAUAAUUUAGUACUGCCUCUCUCUAUGAAAAAGAGUUUUAUUUUCCCUCAUUUUUUGUCCACGGAAAAGAGUAAAAAGGAAGUAGGACACUUGUUAUGGGAUGAAGGGAGUAAUAAAUAUUGUACACAAGUAAUAACCUCUGAUCAGGAUCGGUCAUGUAUCUCAUAGAACCCUAAGCAAAAAAUUGAAAAUGGGCUUUUAUAAUUUUCUUUUAUAUUAACGAUACAACAAUAGUAUAUUUCAACCAAUUAUUUAAGAGAGUUUUGAAUCAAUAGAGAAGAAAACAUAAGGUACUAAGAAUUCAACAUUAAUGGUUUGCUCUAAAUGACGAAAAAAAACUUUCAUAAGACGAAGCACUGUAAAUAGUACCUUAUUAAUUAGCAAAAAUAUUUUUAUAUAUAUACUAUUAAUAUAUAUAAAAAAAAAUAGGACCCCAAAAAUUAGGGUCCUAAUAGCGGCAGCAUAUCGAGCAUGUGUUCAGGUACUCGCCUGUCUCUCAUCAAUCAUAAUCUUUUAUAAAUAAACAGCUGUCUCUCACCAACCAUAAUCUUUUAUAAGUAAACAAAUACUCAUAAAGUCAUAAAUAGAACUAGAGCUAGCACUACUAAUCACUGAGGAAGAAAAAAUAAAAAUAAAAAAAUUAAGAGAUGGAGAAAUCACUCCCUCUUCCUCUGAAUGAUUGGCAAGUUCAGAAAAGAAACAGAGCAAUAAACAGGCUCCAUGGUUUCAUCCAUGGCGGUGCCCUAGCUGCCCUAUUUUACUACAGAAUCACAACCAUCGCCGCCAUAGCCAAAAGCAGCAGCUCCAUUCUUCCCCACCUUCUCAUCUUCGCCGCCGAGCUCACUCUCUCAUGCAUGUGGCUGCUCAGCCAGGCUUCGCUGUGGAACCCGGUCACGCGAAACGCCUACCCGGAGAGGCUGCCCGGAGACGAUAAUCUGCCCGCCAUCGACGUGUUCGUGUGCACCGCCGAUCCCGCGAAGGAGCCGAGCUUGGGUGUGAUGAACACCGUGAUAUCGGCCAUGGCGCUCGACUACCCGCCGCACAAGCUCCAUCUCUAUCUCUCCGACGACGGGGGCUCCCCGUCACGCUCCGCGCCCUUAGACGGGCGCGGAGCUUCCGCGAAGCUGUGGAUUCCGUUUUGCAGGAAGUUUGGGGUGAAGAAUAGGUGCCCUCAGGCUUAUUUCUUGAGAGAGGAGAUUGGUGGCAAUGGUGAUCACUUCUUUGUUGAGAAGAAGGCAAUCGAGGUUUGUCUUCUUGCACAAAAAUAGUAAAAUAUAAAUAUACAGUACUCUCUUUAUCUCAUGACCUAAUUUUUUUUAUACAAUUAAUUAUUAAGAAAAAUAAGAUUAUAGUGUAAAGUAUGUGGGCCUCUAAUCUAUUAUAAUAAAAAUUUGUUAAUUACCCAAAAUGGAAAUAUGCCAAGUCGGAUGAAUUGUUCCAAAAAGAAAGUAGGCCAGUGAAGUGGGACGGAGGGAGUAUAUCUCUCUACUGUCGGUGGUCACCAGUUACUCACCCCUUUAUAAUUCUUGAAAAUUGUGGUUUUUCUUAUUUGGAAAUAAUCCCAAAAACUUUCGCAUUGACUAUUUACAAAAAAAUGUGAAAUUCAAUUUCCACUCAAAAAUAUAACCAUAUAUUUUUUUUCUUAAAAAUCAUGCUACUUUCUUCAAACCACAUUUUUAGUGACCGAGGAAUAUCAUCCACAUUAUGGAGAACUAUAUGUAUAAGUCUAUUUCGAUACUUGAAAGUUGAGAUAUAUUUGAUUAUUUGGCAUUUAUUUUUAGUAGCUAAAUGGUAUGUGCGACAUAUUAUGAUGAAGUUAAUUAAUAUAUAGUGCAAUUUUAAAGAAUUUUAUAUAUAAAAUGAAUUCUUUUUUUUAACUAUAUAUAUAUAUAUAAUGAAUUAUAUAUAUGUAUGUACAUACAUUACUAAAUCAUUUUUUGUAAAUUAAAAUAUAUAAGAAUAUUAUUCUUUUAUACAUUAAUACUAAAACCAGCCUGUGUUAAUUACUUCUACUUUGUAUAAUGCAGAAAGCGUACGACGAUUUCAAGAUUUCUUUGGGCAAGAUUGUUGCUGAAGCUGACGUUGGGGCCAGCAGGGACCAUGCACCAAUUAUUGAGGUAUUAAAAAAUUAUUUAAUGUGGUCAAUAGUUUUGUGGUUUGGAAUAAUUAAUUUUUAUAUAAAAAUCUAAUACUAUAAAGUUUUGCUAAACGACGAAGAUCUCCUCGGCAGUUUAUGUUUGUGAGAGUGAGAUAUUGUUUUUUGAAGGGAAACGUUACUAAAGAAUACAUGUGAAUAUUUUGUUAAUUAGAAGAUAAUUAAUGAUUUCCAUAUUUAUUUUAAUAGAUUAUACAAGAGCUGCUGAUUUCACGUGAGUCAAUAAGCACAAUAUAUACAAUUAUACAAAUGUGUGAGUUCAUAAGCGAAAUACAAAAUAAAUUAACACGAAAUCGACAUAUCAUAAAAUUACAGGGUGAUUUUCGUGGGACGGGAUUCAGUGUCUCAUAAUUUUAUAUGGGUCACUAUAUCCCACUAAUAAUAAUAAUAAUAAUAAUAAUAAUAAUAAUAAUAAUAAUAAUAAUAAUAAUAAUAAUAAUAAUAAUAAUAAUAAUAAUAAUAGUAGUAGUAGUAGUAGUAGUAGUAGUAGAUGUGGAGCCAAAGUGCGCACCCAUAUAAUAUAUGUAUGCGAAGAAACUAACCUUAAAAUGAACAUGAAAAAGCCUCUCAUACAAAAACAUGACAAUAAUUUCACUCGAAAUAAAAGAAAACCCAUGUUGCAUAGGUACGGAGGUGCGGAUGCGGGGGCGAUACGAUACGAGUACGAGGAUACGGGUUUUUAAAAAUUAUAGGGUACGAUUCGGCAAUGAUACAUCUAAUUAUUAAAAUUUUAUGAUAUAUAAUGCUUAUAAAAUAAAGAGUUAUAUUUUUACGAUAUGAUAUAAGCAUUUUCAAUUAUAUAAAUUAAUUGAGCAACAAUAUAACGAUUCAAAUAUUAUUAGUCCAAUAUAUAAGUUAUAACUGAAAAUAAAAUUAUCAACAUAGCCUUGUGUAGGCCUUUCGUGCACGAGAUACGUGAAUUUCGCAGAUAAAAUUUGCGAAUCCGGUUUAUUUUUAUAAAUUAUUUUAAAAGAUAAGCAGGGCUAAUCGGGUGCGAAUACGACGAGAAUCCGAGAGAAUCGCAUUCUAAAAGAAUCCGAUUCGUCAUACAUGUUAAUUUUUGAAGAAUCCGUGCACUAUAGAAGAAAACAUGAUCCUUCGACAACAUAAAAAUUUCCUUAAAAAAACCUGAAUCUGUUAUACUUCCUUCGUCCCACGAAGCAUGACGCAGUUUCCUUUUUGUUCUGUCUCACGAAGCAUGACACAUUUCUAAAAAUGACAAAAAAUUUACCUUUUAUUCACAUUUUCACUUUUUCACCUACCAUACUUAACACAUAAAAUACCAAUUUCUUGAUUCUCGUGUCGAAAAGAAGUGUGUCAUACUUCAUGGGAUGAAGGAGGGAGCAUUAAGGGGUGAGAAUUAGGGGCGAGUUACUCAACCAAAAAAAAAAGAAAAAAGAAAAAAAUAACAGAAAGGUGUGAGUAAGGUUGGGCAAUAAUUGGGGCGGGGGAAUAUUCCGGCGGGCGGUGGAGCACUAUGUACAUUGGGCAGUGGCCGCCUUGGGAAGUGAGAAUUCUUUUGACAGCAAUGCUUAUUGUUAUUACUGUCGUCUCUGAUUUUGGUGGGGUUUAAGGGAUCAUUUUCUGCCGCCUGCCCCCCCUCUACACUAGCACUAGCCCCUCCCCAAUUUUCUCACUCUCCCAUUCCUCAUCAUUUUAUUCUAUUCUUUUCUCGUUUUUUUAUUUAUUUAUUUUAUCGUAUUCCUAAAUUUCAAGAACCAUGUUACGCAACUUCUUACCACCAAAAUCCAAAAUACCUCCAUUAAUCAAUACCGCAAAUUAUUGGGUCGCCCCGCGCUCAUGCCCAUUCGCACUCCUGACCCGCACGUUUUUGACUCGCGUUUUAUAUUAUUAUAUUUACUAGUACGCCCGUCUGUGCGAUGCACAGAGAGCAUCAAAAUUGAGCGACAUAUUUUUUAAGUCGUACAAUACACAGAUUAUGAUAUAUUUUUAUUAUAUAUAUAUAUAUAUAUAUAUAUAUAUAUANUUAUUUGUCCUUUAAAAUUUACAAGUAAAUAAUUCAUAUAUAAUUACUUAUUAUUAUUAUUAUUAUUAUUAUUAUUAUUAUUAUUAUUAUUAUUAUUAUUAUAUUUAUUAUUAUUAUUAUUAUUAUUAUUAUUAUUAUUAUUAUUAUUAUAUAAGGUGGAAGAUUUGUUAGGAUCUUCUUUACAGUGAUUGAAACAAUUAAUAAGUCGAAACGUGUAUAGAUCCACGAAUAUGUAUACUACAUGCAAGAUUACGACUUUAAACUCACUCAAUUUAAGUUGGUGUAUUGUUUUUUCCGAAAGGUGAAACAUCUAUUAUUGGAAAGCAUAGAAUAAAAAUCUAUUAAUGCAUGUCUACUUCAAUACAGAUUUUAUUUCACACGUAAAUAAUAUAUGUAUAUAUAUAGAUAUACGUAAUACUCAUCAUCUGGCCCACGAAUCUUGAGUCAAUUUCCUUUUUCGGUCAUCCCACGAAUCUUGAGUCAUUUCUACACGAAUCUUGAGUCAUUUCUACAUGUAGUAAAAAAUGAGAAAAAAAGGGAUUCUAAUUAAACUUAUACUCCCUCCGUCCCACCAUUUUAGUCCCCUCCCACUUUUCACACAUAUUAAGAAAAUGUAUUUAAUUUUUAUAUUUUUAUCUUUUAUACCCUUAUUUAUUAUUUUCACACAUCAUUUUCACAUUUAAGUGAAGCAUUAAAUAAGGUUAAUUUAGUAAAAACAAUAUUUUUAUAUAGUAUUAAUUAGAAAAGUGGACUAUCUUUUUGGGACAUCUCAAAAUGGAAUAAGAGACUAAAAUGGCGGGACGGAGGGAGUAUUAAUUAAUAAAAUUGCGUACUUCCAAUUAAUAAUCAACGGCUAAUAUUGACAGGUGAUCAGCGAUGCAAAUUCCAACGGUACGGAUUCGAGCAGCAAUGAAGAGAUGCCGUUUGUCGUUUACGUUGCUCGCGAAAAACGGCCAUCUCACCCCCACAAUUUCAAAGCAGGGGCCCUCAACGUUCUUGUAAUUAAAUUCACACACAUAAUAUUCCUAAAUCUUUUAAUAUUCAGUUUUUUAUCCCAUUAUCUUAAGUUUAUAAAGUAUGACAUUUUUCAUAUACAACAUCAAAAAUAGGGCAUUUUUGCCUGUUAACACUAUACGAAACCUAUUAACUCUAGGAAUGCAAUAUGUUGAAAUUCAUGGCUUUUAAUUUGUAUAAAAUAAGAGAAGAGAAAGAGAGAUUCAAAGAUAAUAUUUUUUUAAUAUAUUAUGCCUUAUUUUCCCAUGAUAUAUUUAUCGAUAAAAGAGAACACAUUCUUAUGGUACAAUCGAUUCAUAUUUCCAAUAUGCUGAAUUUCUCACUGAUAUUUUUCAUCUCCCAAAUAAAUACGCAUUUGAGAAUGACACGAGUUUCAAAAAAUAAUUGAGUGUGCGAGUAGGGAAUAAGGGUCGUCUCGUUUAUUGUGAGUGGGUAGUGUUCAGUUUCGAGUAUCCAUUUUUAUUGUGAAUGGAUUGUGUGCAGCUCCGAGUAUCGGGCAUGAUCAGCAAAUCGCCGUACAUCUUGACGCUGGACUGCGACAUGUACUGCAACGAUCCGACGUCGGCACGUCAAGCGAUGUGCUUCCAUCUCGACCCUAAACUCUCCGAGAAUCUUGCAUUUGUGCAGUUCCCACAACGAUUUCACAACAUCAGACGCAACCCUGAUAUCUACGAUGGUGCCGUGAGAUUCAUUUGGGUAAGUAAUUAACUAACAAUAUUACAUUUAUCAUGUUACAACUAUGGAUAAUUUUGCAUUAUUUUGAUUAAUUUGCAUUGAUUUCAGAAAAAAUGGGAAGGCUUCAAUGGUCUUCGAGGGCCAGUCUUGUCGGGGACGGGGUUUUAUAUAAAGAGAGAAGCACUCUAUGGAACUCGGAAGCUUCAAUCAAGUAAUGUCACAAAUUUGGCUCAUCACUGCAUUUUGUGUGUGAAAAUUGAGCAACUUGUUCAAUCUCGUAAAUUUAUUCAUCAUAUUUUUUUUAUGUAGCGUAGACUGAUUUGGAAAUUAGGACAAAAACUAAUGGGCUUGCAAAAGCAUAGGACAUUAAUUAAUAAGACAUAAGUGCACUCGCAGAAAAAUUCUCAGCCCAUUUUAAGAGUUUCAGACUUAAUAAUUCCAAACUAAAAUGGGCCGAAAACUAAAUUUUCAAAUUUAUAAAAAUAGGACACUAAUUUAAAUGGGCCGAGAAUUGUCUUAGUGGUGCAAUAUAACUAUACUUUUGCAAAUCCAAUAGGUCACUCUCUGCUGAUUGAUGAGUUAGAGUUUUCAAAUCAGUCUAAGUUGUUGUCCUAAAAACCCUCUAACUCCCAGAAAUCACUAACGGGCUAGAACUAUCAUUAAAUCAAUUUAUGAGACUAAACGAGUGUAUUUUACCUUUUUGGUACCAUCAUUUAUUUGUAUAUUGAUUGAUUUUACACCUCGCUUCUUUUACUUUUUCGAGUAGAUGUUGAUCUUAACGAGCUCAAGAAGUAUUACGGCUCAUCCAACGAGUUCAUCAAGUCGAUUUAUAGAAAUUACAAACUAAAUAGUCGAAGCAAUGCAUUGCUCAACGAUGAGGCAUUCAAGCAAGAGGUGCAAUUGGUAGCUUCAUGUAGCUAUGACAAUGGCUCACAAUGGGGGAAAGAGGCAAGUUCUAAUUUUAUUCCAACUAAUAUUCUAGUUACAAUAAUGAGUUGUAGAGAGAGAUGUUCAAUUAAGAAUACUAAAUGUGUUGAGAAUUGGUAAUUCGUACGAACAAUUGUGAACAAGUUAUUUAUUUUGAUGAGCAAUCGUUUUGGUCCGAGGUUCAAAUUCUGGAGGUGACGAAAUAUUUAAAUAGAUACGUUUGUUCAUCACUUGUAUUGGUAUGUUCGACAAACUUAUCGAUUUUGUUCAUUAUACUUAUUUCUUACGAAAAAUCAAAUUCCAAAUAAAAUCUAACCCUUUAAAUCAAAAUGGAUGCAGGUUGGGUAUAGAUAUUUUGCGGUAGUGGAAGAUUAUUUCACAGGUUUCAAUCUGCAUUGUGAAGGCUGGAUUUCAGUGUAUGUUGAUCCCUCAAGGCCAUGCUUCUUGGGCACAUCUCCUCUAAGCCUAGGCGAAAUUCUUGUGCAAAACACACGAUGGUUUCUUGGAUUAGGUCAGGUUGCUCUGUCCAAAUAUUCUCCCAUGUUCUACGGGGCACUGAGAAUGUCGAUUUUGCAAAGCAUGAUCUAUGCAGAGGUAGCAUGUUAUGCCGUUUACUUCCUUCCCGUUUACAUUCUAGCCCUCGUUCCUCAGCUCUGUCUCGUUCGCGGCGUCCCUCUCUAUCCUGAGGUAUGCAGAGAGUCAAAAUUCAUUUAAGAAUGCUAUAUCAGGAUUGUCCGCAGAAAUAGGUCAAUUUUUUUUCGAACUUGUAGAAUUAUGUUCAUUGUCUUAAAUUUCGGCACUCGUGGGUAACAUUUUGACUCAAUUCAGCAUCCGUGAGACACAUUUGGGCCCAUCUGAAGUGCAAAAUAAUCUCAUUGAGCUCAAAUAUGGCCCACGCGCGGAGUAAGAGGUUUUUUAGGAUAUUGACUUAGACUAAGUUGGUUUGAAUAAAAAAUUUCGAACUUGCAAAAGUACGUAGGACACUAAAUGCAUCCAAAAGACAAUUCUCGGUCCAUUUUAAGAGUUUCUGGCUUAUUUGAAACUAAAAUGAGCUGAAAGUUAAAUUUCCAGGCUUGCAAAAGUAUGACACUAAGGCUCGAGAAUUGUCUUUUACGGGUGCACUACUUAUUAACUAAUGUCCUACACUUGCAAAUCCGAAUUUUUUUUUUGUCCUGAUUUUGAAAUUAGUCCAAGUUAGUGUUCUAAAAAAACCUAUAACUCCCACGGAUGCUGGAAUUUAAAAUAAUUGAGCAAUUUAUGUGAGCUCGAAAAAUUGGUCUAUUUUUGCAAAUCGGGCUCUAGUAGCUUAUUUUUGUCAAACACUUCCCAGGAGCUUACUCGUUGCUUAUGGUUGCAGGUUUCGAGUCCAUUCUUCGCGGUGUUUGUGUUUGUUUUCUUGUCGUCGCAGCUGAAACACGCGCAAGAGGUGUUGGCGUCGGGGGAUUCGAUCAAGACUUGGUGGGCGGAGCAGAGGGUGUGGAUGAUGAAGUCAUUGACAUCUUACUUCUUUGCUGCCGUGAACGCGAGUUUGGAGAAGGUCGGAUUGAUCAAUUCUAGCUUUGUCCCAACAAACAAAGUGACAGACGAUGAAGCAGAGAAGCUCUAUCAAAUGGGGAAAUACGACUUCCAAGCACCACCUCUCUUCAUGCUCAUACUGUGCACACUUUACUUGCUUAAUAUUGCUUCCUUCGUCGUCGGAUUUGUGAAGAUUUUGCAGAAUGGGAAGAUGAUGAAUGCGAUGGUGAUGCAGGCUUUUCUACCAUUGUUUGGCGUAGUUCUGCAUUUGCCUUUGAUGGAAGGGAUGGCGUUGAGGAAGGAUAAAGGCCGAGUUUCGCCGCCGGUGGCGCUUCUUUCAGCUGUAAUUUCCUCUCUAGCUUUGGCUUAUGCAGCCCUUGCUCAUUAAUAUCAUGCUAGCUUGUGUAUGCUUUGUUUAUUUGUUGUGAAUAAAGGUAACCAUCAAAGUAAAUUAUGGAGAUCUUGUUGGAACAAACUGUGAAUUGUAUCUCUUUUUCUAAAUUCUUAAUCUUAAUAGUACUCCCUCCGUUUCAUAAGAGUGUGCAUUUCUUUCUAUUUUGGGACGUUCAUAAGAGUGCAUUUGCCAUUUUUGGACGCUACCUUAUCACUAACUACUUAUUUUCUUACUAUUACUUUAUAAUGAAUCACUUGUUCCACUCCUUAUACACUCAUCUAACAUUUUAUUAAACAUGUAACACCAAAAGUGAUGCACACUCUUGUGGGACGAAGGGUGUAUGAUUUAGAGGGAGUGGUUAUUAUAAGUCCAUUGUGAAUUCAGUAUGAAACAUUAAUUAUGAGUUUAGUUUGAAAAACGAUGAAUUCAAGAAAAUCGAACUCUAGAUCAUAAAUUCAUUCGACAAAAGCUGAAAGUAUGUGAUUCCUAUUUUAUAUAAUAGAUAUGCAUCUGCACUCGUUUGAACCACUUCUUAUGAGUAGAUACCAUAUUUUAAGUAGAUUAAUGUCACGUCACUUUCGAUUUCUACCUCGUAUUUUUUUUAUGGCAGAAAUCAGAUAAAUUGAAAGUUGGUGUAUUAGAAUUUAAAAGAAAAAUAACAUAAAAACGCUAAAAAUUUGUGUAUUUUCAUGCAAAUAAUCUUAUUGUCUAUGAUAGAAAACUCUCACCAAAAUAUUACUAUAAAUUUUUAUUUUGAUCCCAGUAAUUGGGCUUGAUCAGGAAAGUUGCCUAUGACAGAUCUCCGGCCUGAUAGAUUGGGCCUCUUUGUGGCCUCAUUCGAACAUUUAUGUAAGAGAUUGUCUUAUAUUGGGCCUGAUUUGUGGCCUUUUUAUGGCUUCAUGUUAAUCCAAUUAAUUGGGCUUCAUUCUGAUGUGGGAGGUCCGCUGCUGAGGACGGUGGGACCCACUGUGUAUUUGUUAUAUUUAUAUAUUUAUUUAUUAAUUAAUUAAAUUUUGUUAAAGAUUAUUAAAUUUUAAUUGAACUUAGUUGAUUCUAAUUAUUAUUAAUAAUUAAAAUUAAAUUUAAGUAGUGAUUAACCAUUAGACAAAUUUGCGUUAUAUUUAGCAAAAGACAAUUUAAAAAAACAAAAAAAAAAAAGGCAUGGUCUCUUUUGUAUUAAUGUUCAUAAAGUAUUUUCCAUCAAUAGAGUAAUUAGAUUGAACCAAGACAACAUUUGUUUCAAAUUUUUAGGUCAAAUGAAUUGACAAAUAUGAUUGGCUGCAUGGCCCUGCAAAAUAGCUAGGGCCAUGUGCGUUAGUAUAAUUUAGUAUUGGGAAUAACAUUAUAAAUGACAUCUAUUCCUUCCAUUUUAACCAGAAAAUAUGCACAUAAAUGUUCAAUGAUAACUGUACCAGAGAAUGAAUGAAUAUGAUCAUUUAUGUAGCUAUAUAUUUAUUUUUGUUGCAACCGAAUUCUAUAUUCUAAUUACGUUACUUAUGUGAUAUAUUUUGUGGUUUAAGUAUAAUUUUGUUCACUAAAUUAGUGAGUAAAUCAUGUUUACAAAAUUCAUUUCAGUUUUAUAUUUUCUAAGAAUUGCGACCCUUUUUUCUCUUAGAGUCGCUUUUUAUGGUAGUGUUCAGCUCAAUUAAUACGUACAUCUUUUAAAGUUCCAAAAUUGUAAGUUCGUAAAUUCAAUUUUAUUUUUUCCGAUCUUAUAAGCAACAAUCAAUUUGUAAAAACAAUUUUACUAUAUAACUGAUUUGUUAUUUUUAACUAAUAUCCUUCUCAUUUCAUCUCGAGUUCAUGCACGAUUUUCUCUUUGACUUAUUAAUUCAGUUUCUCAAAUCGUACGCUUCGACAACUUAUAAAUACUUGAAAUAUUUUAUAAGAUAAUAUAAAAUAAACAUGUACCCCUCAAUGAAAAACUUAUUUUGACGACUCUAAAGUUUGACUAUAUGUUAAUUAUGCAGCUUGUAAGAGUGAAUGACUAUAAGGGCCUGUUUGGAAGUAUUUGAAAAAGCUCCAGUUUCUAAUUUGGGAAAUGAAAGAGGGUCUUUCAGUAGUCUGCAAAGCUUUUGAAACUUAGCAGAAAACCAAAUUCCAUUUGUGGGAAUGUGAUGAUGCCAUUCGACACCUGGACUAUGUCGGGAACAUGCAAACUAUCAUGUUUUGGGAUAUGGCCCCACUUAAUUUAACUCCAUUGCUUGAAUCAUUUGAUGACACCAUAUUCUAAGUAUUCAUGCUACCUAAUUAAGUUUGUCAGUGUGUGACUGUGUGUGUAUUUUGUGUGUUUUUCUCACACCAACAAUACCUAUAUGUUUGCAUAUAUACAUUCAUUUAGGCUUACUAAUUGACUUAAUCACAAUUUUGGUGUCAAAGAAUCCAAUUGUCUUAUAUGUUGAUGACAUGUGAGAUAUCUCAAUUUUCCUUUAUAAUACAGUUAGAAAUGUCAGAAUCUAGACUCUGUGACGUCAGAUAUCACUGACGGGUAACUUUGUUAGUAAAUCAAUUUAUGAGGCUUGAACAUUAAUGUAUUAAAUUGAAGUUUGAGCUAAAAUUGUCCCUAAUCAAGUUAAUUUAUGAGAUUAAAUGAAUUUAUUUACAUGCACAUUUAGGACUUUGAGAACUAGAGAUUAAUAUUUUUUUCAAUGCAAAUUAAGCUAGAUAUAUAUAGUAAUUACUCCAGAGUGGGCCCACAAAGGAUCUAAUGAUUUGAGAUAGAAACAAUAUUCAAAUGGGCUCCAGCCGUACGUGCUUCAUUGAAGGCUCUCGUUUAAACUUGCAAAAGAAAGGAAUGAAAUGAAGAACUCAUAAUUAAUCGAGCCAAUCUAUCAAAAAAUAUGCUAAAUUCUAAUUAUGAUGAACGUGUUUAUCAAUUAAUUUCGUUUGCAUAUAUAUCAUAUUUACGUAUCGAAAUCUCAAGUUUGUUUUUUCAAAGAUUUUUUCCAUUUCUGCUGUUAAACAUAAUCCUCAUGAAUGAACAUUGUUUACCUUUAUAAAAUCUUUUACUCUUAUUUAAAAUCACCAAAUAGGUUCAGAAAAAUUAAAUAAGAGAAAGAAGAAAAUCAUGAGAUAACUUAAUAAUGCACAAUGCAGUUUUAUAUAAUACAUGACCAUCUAUAUAUGAUCACUAAAAACCUAAUAUGGGUAGAAAGUACAACAUAGAAUAAGAGCAAAAAACACAUAAAAAAGGGAUGAGAAAAUUCAUCAUGAAUUACUGCCCCAUUUUUUGCUCUUUCUCACUUCUUCAACUUUCUUUAACUCUAUGAUUGCAAAACCUAAGUGUAUCCAAGGCGAAGUUCCAAAUCAAGCUCCUCCUUAGAUGGAUUAAUCAGCCCAAUCUCCAAGUCCAGCCUCACAAACCCCGGCUUCUUCCGCGCCGACGACGAGUCGAAUCGAAGCCCUUUCGCCGCCCUCACCUUCAUGAAAUCAGUGGUUAUGGGUGCAGGUGGGGGCAAUUUGGAAGUGAAAUGAGGGAAUUUGGUGGAGAGUGAUGACAGAGGUGGAGAAGAAGAUGGGAGCAAACUAGGGCUAGAAUUAGGGUUAGGGUUAGGUUCAAGAUUUAGGUUAAUUAACGGACAGAACUCACCGCCGUUGCCUCCGCCGUCUCUCGGCGGAGACUGCCGCAGCCUCGCCCGGUCUCUCCGGUGGACAUUCAUGUGGCCGCCGAGAGCUUGAGCGGAUCGGAAUUCCCUCUUGCAGAAGCUGCAAACGUAGCUCCUCGGCGGCCAUGAAAACCCUGCGGCCACCAAGUCUCCGUCCACCAAGCUCGCGCCGUUGCAGUCGCCGACGAAGUCGAACGACGGAACCUUGAACUUGAAAUGAUGCAUUUGCUUCACGUUCCCUCUUAGACUGCCCUUCUCCAUUGUGUUAUAAGCUGAGCAAGGUAGAGAGAGAGAGAGAGAAAGAGAGGGAAGAAUAGGCGAGGGUGAUAUAGUGGAGAGGAGAGGGGUGAGUGUGUGAGGUGUGUGUGAGAGAGAAAUCACUACCACAAAAUGUUCCACUAGUGACAUAAUUUUUUAAAAAGUGUUACUAGAUAAAGUUGUGACAUCUUACAAUGAGUAUCUAUCAUGCAUGUCAUAAAAUAUAGUGACAUUUGAAGGUGUAUCAAUUUGUGUAAUUAGCAAAAUUAACUUUCAUUUUUGUAUGUAGCAAAAGUAUAUAGAGUUAGACGAUUUUUUAGGACACUAUUAGAACAAAAAUUCUGAGCUUGCAAAAUAGGACGAUAAUUCAUCAAUUCUCAGCCUAUUUUAAUUAAUGUCCUAUUUUUGCAAGAUGCCCGUUUUAAUUUCGAGUAAGCCCUAAAUUCUUAAAAUGAGCCGAGAAUUGUCCUGCGAGUGCUUUACAAGCCUAAAUUUUUGUGACACGUCUCUGGAUAUUACUAAAAUUGUGUCACUACUGAACAAUUUUGUCGUAGCGAACUAAGGGGGUGGGGGUGGGGGUGGGGGUGGGGAUGGGGUUGGGGGAGGCCAUCAAAUUCUAACCCAAAAUCUGAGAAAUGGGAUUGGGUGGAAUUAAGUGUGUGUUCCCUAUGUUAGGUCACUGCUUACUAAAUGUGGAACCUCGUCCUGCAAAGCCAUCCCAUUCUAGGAAACUCAUCUACUGGAUGUUCUUUAUUCCUCCUCACAUUUUUGUGACAAACUUUUAUGUCACACAUUUUGCAAUUCGAGAAAAAUAUUUAAUAUCUGCCUUUGGUGAAUAUAUGUACAUACGUAUGUUUUGCAUCACCAAAGAGUUAAUUUUUUGUUGUUUUUGGGGGCCACAUGCGAUUUGUACAUUUCUUGUGAGUGGAUCUGUCCAACUUGAAUGAUCAUAACUAUUCAACCUAUAUUUCUUUUUAUAGGGAUCUUCACAGCUACAAAUUGGAACCCGUUUGCUUGUUAGGAAAAUACGUUAUCAUGAUUGUCAUUUUAAAAUAAUUUACAUAGAAUAUGGGAAUCAAUUGUGGGGAUUUAAUUGGACACUUUUUAGAUUAUAAAAGUUUGACUUUUUUUAUAUGGAGGAUUGGAGAUUGAGAUUCGUAUACUAUUAAAUUAAAAUAUUUGGGUAUAAAGUUUGACGUUGAGUGUGACUUAAUGAUUCUUUAUUAGAUAACAUAAAAUCAAUAUAUAUCCGACGCUAGUUNUUUUUUUGUUAGGAUUAAUUAAAUACUACUCUUUGCUCUAUAUUUUGCAAUUGUUAUAAAAAACCAAUUUUCUAAACAAUUUCAAAAAUAUAUAACAAGACUUGUCAAGAUUUCUUAACAAAUCUAAACAUGAGAUAAAAACAUGAGUUGUCAACCUAUAUUUCCAUAAUUUAUUGAAGGUCCAAUAUUUUUUAAAAAAAAAUUGACAAAUUUUAAUAUUUAUCAUAUAUUUCCUCUAUCUUUUAUCUUUAAUAGCCCCUAAUCAAUUAUAAAAAAGUUGGUGUUAUAUAUUACUAUGUGGGAACGUUGUUUUAAUAGACGCAAUCAUUUGUGUUCAAAUAUAAUCAUGCAUGAGUUAUUGCCAAAAAAAAUGUAUCAUUAAAUCAUACCCAUGUGUAGGUGGAGUACAUGCAUGUAAUGGAAUGUCAUAAAUACAAAUGUUGCUCGUAAAAAACUUGAAAUUAAUCGCAACUUUGAUUAAAAAAAUUAAAAUAAAAAUUGUUUAACUUGAGGGAGUAUAUUUUUAUAAGAGUGCCUAAGACAAUAAUUUUGUUUAAAGCAAAAAAUUAAUUAAUAAAUUUCUGUCUUCAUCAUUUCAUUCUAGUUUAAUUUGUGCUUAGAUGAGAAAGCAAUGCAUCGCAAUGAUUACUAAUAAGUAGUCAUUCACGUUGUUUGAUGACAGAAAUAAAAUUUCAUUAAAAAAUGUUAAAUAUUUUGUAGAAGAGUACAAGCCCCCUUAGAUAUCAUAGAAAACUGUAUCUGAGUGCCAAGAUUUUCUUGCCAUUUUCCUCUCUAUAAAAUAUGGUAAGGUUUCUCAGAUUCCAGAAACAUGCAAAAGAUUGUGCUGCAUUUAGCUUAGAUUUUAUGAAUGACUGGUGGCCAAUAGCAUCAUCCCUACCCCUUUCUAUUUCUAGUUUUUUUUUUUCUUCAUGAUUUUUUGAAAAAUCCAUUCUAUUUAUAUAUAUAUUUCAACUUAUUUUAGAUGCAUUGAAUUUGUAUAUAUUAUCUCUGUACUUCUCAUGUCAUUUCGUACGUAGGCCAUAGUGAUAAUAUAUAGUGUAUAAUAUAAGAUCAGUUAUUGAAAUUUGUAUAUGGAUACGGCCCCAUCGAUUUAUUAUUUCUAGUUCUUUUUAGGUUAAAUACCAAUGAUUUAUACGAUCAAUUGCACAAAUUCGAGUACGUACUUAUUCUCUUUCCCUCCUUUUUUUAUGAAAAAAAACUAAGUAAUUAUGAAUUUCAAUUUGUAAUCAAUAUUAAGUUUCUGGUAAAAAAAAAUACAUGAACGGUUAAUUAUUUGAAAUUUGACUAAAGCCCAUUUAUGAGUUAAAUUGUGUGAACUCUACUAAUAUAAAUGAAACUUGUAAUUUUUAUGUGCACGAACCGAAAGCGAAACUGUGGCAAAUUUUUUGUCUACGAAGGGAGUAUUUAAAGGUAUUUAACAAUUAAUAAUACUCGAGACGGGAAUAUCAACUUAUAUUCAUCUACAGCAAUCAAAGUCUAGGGUGCAGUGAUAAAUUUAAAUCAUGAAUAAGUACAGGACUAUGCAUUAUAAUAUAUUUGUAAAUCUCUUCUUCCUUCUUAAUUUUUAUAAUCCUCUUAAAAUUGUGAAUAAAAAAAAUAAAAAAUACAACCAUGAAGAAGUAGUAGGCUAGCUAAUUAACAGAGUGGGUUACUAUUUCUGCAUAUGACAGAAAGAGAUAAUUGAUGAAAGCAUAAUUAUGAAUAUGCUAAAAUGAAGGUUUAAUUACAUAGGCUGAGAAACGAGGAUUUGUUUUGGUCCCCUUUGAAUUAGCAGAGCUAAGGCAGUGGCGUUGCUGUCUCUUCAUAAAAAUGAAUUCCAUCAAUCUUGUUAUCUUUUUGUCUGUGUCAAGAUUGAAUGAAAGGGGUUGAGUUGAGUUGAGUUGAGUUGAGGAGAAUAGUAAACUACAUAGGAACCAUCAAACAUUUGUCAUCUCUACAUGUGUGUAAUAAUUUGCUGGCAGAGAGGAGGAAUCAUCCACUCAAACCACAUUGUUUCCCACCUUACGUUUUACUAUCAUGCAAUUGGUGGAACAUAUAUAUAUAUACUCCCUCCGUCCACCGGUCCACGAAAUGAGUACUCAUAUUUCCUUUUUCAUCCGUCCACGAAAUGAGUACCAAUUUCCCUUUUUGGCAAGUGUACCUCACACAUCUCUUUAAUUAAUACACUCAAAAAGUGGGACCCUUAAACUAUUCACACUACACUCCACACAUUUCUUAAAACCCGUGCCGUCCACAAAUGGGUACUCAUUUCGUGGGCGGAGGGAGUAUAUAUUUAUAUAUAUAAGUUCAUUAGAGAAAAAGCAAAAUUUUUGUAUACGAAUUUCACCAACGCUUCCAUAGGUAUAAGUAUGUUGUAUUUUAAUUUUUAAUUACGUGGUUUAAUUAUCUGUCUCGUGUGAUUCAUGGGGUUUUAUGCAUAAACGUGAGUUUAUUCAGUGCGCAUCGAACGUAACUAUUAUGAGGCUAUAAAAACAUUAAAAAGAGAGAGAUAUAGAGAGAGUAUAUGCAGUAGCUAGGGCCGGCCCUUAUGUGUAAUUGGUGGGGCGAUGGCCGGCCGAGGGCCCCAAAAUUUAGGGGGCCCAAAUUUUUGGUCCAAUAAUAUUGUAUUUUGCCUUUUAGAAAUAAAUUUUAAUUGAGAUUAAUUAAUAAAAUCUUAAUUAUACCAUGGAUACAAGAUACUACUACGACCUCUGUGUGUGUGUGAGAGAGAGAGAGAUGGGUUGAAGGAGGAAAAUGGUGUUGGGCUUAUUUAUUAUUUAAGCUUGGGCUGCAAAAUCCAAUUGAUUCAACUGGGCUGCGGAAUUAGUAAAGGGCUGCUGAUCCAAUUGAUUCCCUUUUUGGUUUCGGCAAACUAUAUUUUUGAAUGUUUUUUAUAUAAAUAAUAGGUGCAAAAAAAUCAAAUUGUUGACUCAAUUAACUAUGUUGACAAUUUGGGCUGUUCUAUAUUCCAUUUGUCCUUGAAAAAUGGUGUGUAUUGUUAUUUUGGUACGUCCACAAAAAAUAAUUUAUUUUCAUUCAUAGAAUUAUUCAUGAUAUAUUACUCUCAUAUAUCAACAUAUUUAUCUAACUACCACAUGAUAGGUUCAUUUCUCCACUCAUAAUACAAUUAAUUAUUAUUAUUAACAUUAAAACUCGUGUUGUCCCCUUCUAGGAUUAUUAUUUAGGGACAAAUGGAGUAUAUUUUUUGAGAAGUUGGUUUAAAGCUAAAGUAUGUGUUAAACUUUUGCCUUGUAAUUAAUCCAAAUUAAGUUGAUAGCAUUGCUUCAUCUUAGUCCCAUGUUUGAAGUGUAUAUAUGUUGCAAUUUUUCACCAUUGAAUUAUUUUCCCCAUCAAAAUAUUAAAUAUUAUACUGUGAAUACCAGCAUUGCUGCAUAUAUAUAAUGCAUUGUUUCGGACAAGUCCAAUCGAAUUAGAACAGAAAUUAAUUAUUAUUAAACUAAAUUUAAAAUGCUUUGGAUGAACUAGCUGUAAUCCAAGCAAUGCAUAUGCUUCAUGUACUUUAAUUUGUCCGUAACCUUCUCAAACAAAAAAAAAUUGCAAAAAUAUUUAAUGUUGCUAAUUAAUUAAUCUUAUUAAAUCAACAAAUUAAUUAACCUCUAGAACAUUUGCCGUCUGCAAGUACAUAUUUUGAUCAUAUUUCAAACAAACAUGGUCAAAAGUCCUUAGCCGUCUCUUUCAUUUCUCACGCAGGGAACCAGCUAUAAAUAUAAAUAAUUUUAUAGCUUAAAAUGACAUAAGUUGUGUCUAAGAUGUGAUACUUAAAAAAUUAAUUGCAUGCUAAUUAUUUAUUACAACUUUUCAUUCUUUUCACAUUUCCUUAGAUUCAUCCAAAUCUGCAUAUAAUCGAACAAAACGUUUUGUACCAUACGAGAUUAUAAAGUUUGAAAUUAAUUAGCUCUCUUGCAUUGAUUAAACAAGAAGAAGAGCAAGUUUUUUUUUCUUACUAUUAUUUUUUAUAUUUUUUAUUUUGCAGUAACGUAUAAUAUUCUUGUGCUUGUUCUUUAUGUGCUCAUAUAUAUCCUAAUUAAUUUAUCAAACUUCUGUUUCUGUUCGAUUUUUGGCUAAUCGAACGUUAAUUAAAACUUAUUACUAUGAGUAUAUAUAUUACUCCCUCCGUCCCACGAAACAUCAGUCGUUUCUUUUGGGCACGAGCUUUAAGAAAGUAAUAUAUAUUUAGGGUAUUAAGUGUGGUCGGUGAAAAAGUGAAAAACUUUUGUCAUAUAAAGAAACGUAGCAAGUUUCGCGGGACGGCCUAAAAAGAAAUACAACUUAUGUUUUGUGGGACGGAGGGAGUAUAUAUAUAUUGAAAGUUGGAUCAGCUUGUUUGGAUAUAUGUCGUUUAAUUUGUCAUAGCUAUAUAGAUUAACUCUUGUGUAAUAUACUCCUUCCCUCUUGCGAAACUUGAUCACUUUUUUUUAUACAGGUUUUAAGAAGCUAGUAUGUAGUGUGUUAAGUGUGGUAGGUAAAAAAGUGAAAAUGUGAAUAAGAGGAAAAACUUUUGUACGUAGUGAUCAAGUUAUAUGGGACAACCCGAAAAACAAUAUUGGUCAAGCUUUACUGGACGGAGGGAGUAUAUGUCUUUAAACAUUUUGGGACGUUAAUUUAUAAUAGGUGGAUUAAAUGCAGUGAUAUCUCUUACAAAAAUUUCAAAGAAAUUUUUUACAGUUGUACCUGAUACGAUAUGCCUCAUUAAUCCUUAAACCUGCCGAAAUAAGCGACGAUUUUAAUGAUCUCUGCUGUGUCACAGUCGUCUUCUUUCAACCAUCUUCACGUGGAGCCAAAAUUCCUUAAACAUUCGAAAAAUGACAGUUCACUCUUAGAAGAGACCUCCAUUUCAGUCCAAUCAUAUGAUUCAAACGACCAAGUCUUAUAUUAUAUGCUUCAAAGUAAUGUUUUAACACCUUAUGCCAGAAAUGUAGGUGACAAAGCAACAUUAAAAAUCACCAAGAAAAAUUUCACAAUCGAUGCCGGCCAACACGAAUAAAACCAAUAAAUAAAAAACACAAGUGUACUUAUCUUAAUUAAUUUCCCUUUCCCCACCCCCCACAAAAAGAAAAUCUUGCUCUAGUAAUCUCCAACCAAAAAAUCAAGAUCAUGGACCAAGAGAAACAUGGAGAUCAUUCCGAUGCACCGGAGAAGAGAGACGAGGACAACGCGGGCGUGGGGAGGUCGUACGAGUGCGCCUUCUGCAAGCGCGGCUUCACCAACGCGCAAGCCCUCGGCGGCCACAUGAACAUCCACCGCAAAGACAAGGCCAAGGCCAAGCAAAAAAAUCAAGAGGAGACAUCAUCAAACAAGCCGAAUCAUCCGAGGUUUGCGCCGCCGCAGCCGCCUCAUCAAAGGGCGGCGCAGGCGCAGGCGCAGACGCAGACGCAGACGCAGAUGAGCUAUCAAGUCUACUUGCCCUUACCAAACCCUAGUUUCCAAACUGGGAAUUAUUUGCCGCUUUGGAGGCCCGAUCGCUUAAACGACGCCGGUUUGCGGCUGAGGCCGGCUGAGCAAGACGGCAAUGCGGAGGAGAAGCAAGUGGACUUGGAGCUCCGCCUCGGCCACGACCCGUGACCGAUCGUCGUGAUCAUCAUCUGCAACUCUCGACGAUGUAUAGAUGUGAGUUUUAAUUAUAUCUUGAUUGAAUUUUUAUGGUAGAGGGAAUUAAUUAAGUUGAAUAAAAGGGGAUAAGCAUAAUUGCUAUAUUGUUCUCCUCAGUUGAGAAUUUUAGUUCAUGAGCUAUUAAUUUCUUGCUUUUGUUUCAUUUAUAGCUCCUUUUGUAUUAUAUAUAUAUGGAUAUGGAUGCUGAAGCUGCAUCUUUUGAUUAUUUUCUUUGGCUUCCCACACAUUCAUGGAAUUUUGUGAGAGUGUAAUUGCUUCUCUUUAGUUGUAACUCAACUAAUUGCAGCUGUAGGGAAAGAGUUUAAUUUUUGCUUUGCUAUACCAUUAGUAGUUUAGGCAUUGAUUAAACUUGCCGAGAGCAUAUGUUUACUAUGAUAGAAAAUCUUCCGGCAGAGUGGAAUACUUUCUCGAGUAAUUCGUUUUUACUUAUUUUCUCUCCAAUGUUGGAUAAUAUUAUCUUUGGGUAGUGGUGUGAAAAAUAUUUUUCAACAUUUUUUCAUCUGGAUAAGUAAAUAUAUGAUGAAAAAAGAGAAAACAAAUAAAUAUUUUCUUAAUGAGAAUUAAUCAUAUGCAUAUAUACAGGUACGUAAACAUCUUUUGUUCGUUUUUAGAAUUUCUUAUACAUAUGAUUAAUGAUCAUAUAUGAUAAACAUUAUCCAUCUUUUUUCAAUGAAAAUUUUACGAUGAAAGUAAACGGGCACAUAUAUGAUAAUUAAUCAGUUGCAUACAGAUACGUGAACUUCUUUUUUGUUCGUUUUUAGAAUUUCUUGAAGAUGCAGAAUCUCUCUCUCUCUCUCUUCUAAAUAUAACACACACACAAACACAC